CCCGGACACAAGCGGUGAUUGAUGUGGUUUAAUUCGAAGCAACGCGAAGAACCUUACCAGGUCUUGACAUCCUUUUGAAUGGUCUAGAGAUAGAUCAGGCCUUCGGGACAGAAGAGACAGGUGGUGCAUGGUUGUCGUCAGCUCGUGUCGUGAGAUGUUGGGUUAAGUCCCGCAACGAGCGCAACCCUUAUCAUUAGUUGCUAACAUUCAGUUGAGAACUCUAAUGAGACUGCCAGUGAUAAACUGGAGGAAGGUGGGGAUGACGUCAAAUCAUCAUGCCCCUUAUGACCUGGGCUACACACGUGCUACAAUGGCCGGUACAAAGAGUUGCGAAACUGUGAAGUUAAGCUAAUCUCAUAAAGCCGGUCUCAGUUCGGAUUGUAGUCUGCAACUCGACUACAUGAAGUCGGAAUCGCUAGUAAUCGCGAAUCAGAAUGUCGCGGUGAAUACGUUCUCAAGUCUU
rnacentral:rRNA from 1 species